AGAGCGAACGCUGGCGGCAGGCCUAACACAUGCAAGUCGAGCGCCCCGCAAGGGGAGCGGCAGACGGGAGAGUAACACGUGGGAACGUACCCUUUGGUUCGGAACAACCCAGGGAAACUUGGGCUAAUACCGAAUAAAGCCCUUACGGGGAAAGAUUUAUCGCCGAAGGAUCGGCCCGCGUCUGAUUAGCUAGUUGGUGGGGUAACGGCCACCAAGGCGACGAUCAGUAGCUGGUCUGAGAGGAUGAUCAGCCUCAUUGGGACUGAGACACGGCCCAAACUCCUACGGGAGGCAGCAGUGGGGAAUAUUGGACAAUGGGCGCAAGCCUGAUCCAGCCAUGCCGCGUGGGUGAUGAAGGCCCUAGGGUUGUAAAGCCCUUUCGGCGGGGAAGAUAAUGACGGUACCCGCAGAAGAAGCCCCGGCUAACUUCGCGCCAGCAGCCGC
rnacentral:rRNA from 1 species